rnacentral:rRNA from 1 species
UACGUAGGGUGCGAGCGUUAAUCGGAAUUACUGGGCGUAAAGCGUGCGCAGGCGGUUUGUUAAGACCGAUGUGAAAUCCCCGGGCUCAACCUGGGAACUGCAUUGGUGACUGGCAAGCUAGAGUAUGGCAGAGGGGGGUAGAAUUCCACGUGUAGCAGUGAAAUGCGUAGAGAUGUGGAGGAAUACCGAUGGCGAAGGCAGCCCCCUGGGCCAAUACUGACGCUCAUGCACGAAAGCGUGGGGAGCAAGCAGG